GGGGGAAUAAGGGGGGGGCAGCGCCGCGCCGCCCCCUGCCGGGACUUGAUGAUUGGCACCCCUGCGAUGGGCUUGCAAUGGGUUAAUUAAUCUAAUUCUCAAAGCUCAUUAAGGAGCCGCAGCUCAGGACGGUGCAACCUUCAGAAGCCACAGCUCAGAAAACAGGAUCUAAGCUCAGCUGGGAAGGAGGAAUGACAUAAAAGUGCCCUGGUUUGAG